rnacentral:lncRNA from 1 species
GGAGCCAUUUCAGGUGUCUGCAAAUUCAGCUGCUAAACCGGCAUUGCAGCCUACUACGAAGGCGGUUACACAUCCUUUUCCAGCAUAUGCACAAUCCACAACAUCUCAUCAACAAACUCAAUGUGUAAAUCCAUAACCUGCUUUGCAGAAAUCCGUGGCGGCAGAUGCAACCGCUUCUACAUUGCCAACUCAUCAUGUCACUCAUGGAGGGGGACAAUCAACUUGGCAGCCUCCUGAUUGGGCUAUUAUGUAAAUCCACAACCUGCUUUGCAGAAAUCCGUGGCGGCAGAUGCAACCGCUUCUACAUUGCCAACUCAUCAUGUCACUCAUGGAGGGGGACAAUCAACUUGGCAGCCUCCUGAUUGGGCUAUUGAGCCACGUCCAGGUGUUUAUUAUCUUGAG